CUACGGGCGGCUCCAGUGAGGAAUAUUGCACAAUGGGGGGAACCCUGAUGCAGCAACGCCGCGUGGAGGAUGACGCAUUUCGGUGUGUAAACUCCUUUUAUAUGUCAAGAAAAUGACGGUAGCAUAUGAAUAAGCACCGGCUAACUCCGUGCCAGCAGCCGCGGUAAUACGGAGGGUGCAAGCGUUACGCGGAAUCACUGGGCGUAAAGGACGCGUAGGCGGGUUGGAAAGUCAGGUGUGAAAUCCUACAGCUUAGCUGUAGAACUGCACUUGAAACUUCUAAUCUAGAGUAUGGGAGGGGGAGAUGGAAUUAGUGGUGUAGGGGUAAAAUCCGUAGAUAUCACUAGGAAUACCUAAAGCGAAGGCGAUCUCCUGGAACAUUACUGACGCUAAGGCGUGAAAGCGUGGGGAGCAAACAGGAUUAGAUACCCCUGUAGUC
rnacentral:rRNA from 1 species